rnacentral:rRNA from 1 species
AAUCCAUAGGUUAAUGAGGCGAACCGGGGGAACUGAAACAUCUAAGUACCCCGAGGAAAAGAAAUCAACCGAGAUUCCCCCAGUAGCGGCGAGCGAACGGGGAGGAGCCCAGAGCCUGAAUCAGCAUGUGUGUUAGUGGAAGCGUCUGGAAAGGUGCGCGAUACAGGGUGACAGCCCCGUACACAAAAGCGCAUGUGCUGUGAGCUCGAUGAGUAGGGCGGGACACGUGGUAUCCUGUCUGAAUAUGGGGGGACCAUCCUCCAAGGCUAAAUACUCCUGACUGACCGAUAGUGAACCAGUACCGUGAGGGAAAGGCGAAAAGAACCCCGGCGAGGGGAGUGAAAAAGAACCUGAAACCGUGUACGUACAAGCAGUGGGAGCACCCUUCGGGGUGUGACUGCGUAC